AUGUUUGCUGACUGUUUGUAUUUUAUCUCUAGAGACAUUCCACGGAGAAGUAUUCUGCAGCUUACUUGCUGAAUCUUCACCUGGACUAUCUGUGCCUCGUUGCCUGGCUUUCUGUGCCCUUCACUUCUUCAAGGACGCCAAGCCACUCUCUUCUCGCUGGCUUCGACUGAGAUGAGAGCUCUGCUGUAAUCUCUGACUUGGUUGCUGUGCGUGAAAAGCAUCUCACUUCGUCCUCAUCCCAGGUUUUCUUUGAAGGUUUCUCUUUUAGCACCAGUUCUGAAAGCAACUUGAUUACGCCAUCUGUAGAUCCAAGGCAAUCCAAAUCAAGCCAGCAAUGACAGCAUGACAGAAGCAAUCGUAAACUGUGUACAGAGUCACAAAAGACCUCCAGCAGCCAAAGCAAUACUGAAGAAAAGUGAAAAAUCUGGACACAUCACACUAUCUGACUUCAAAAUAAUCUACAAAGCUACAGUGACUAAAACAGCAUGGCACUGUUGUCUGUCAGAUCAGAUGCGUAGACCAAUGGAACAGAGCAGAGGAUGUGUUUACAACAAACUGACUUCUGAUGAAAGUGCCAAGAGGGGAAAGGUCAGGCUCUGCGGGCUACCCCGAGGUGGAACAAGGAGACUUCAUCUCAGCUCACUGAGAUGGACAACAAUGGCUUGUUCUACAGCCAUGGAAGGGCUCAGAUAAGAAGACAGCUAUAUCAAUGAUUUCUUUAAAGAAAAAAUUAAAGGACUCCAAGCAAUCACCCUGUAUUCAACUCUGCCUCCCACCAAAACCCUCACUGGAGAAAAGUAUAAAGAGAAUUACUCUGAA